UACGGAGGGUGCAAACGUUGUCCGGAAUCACUGGGCGUAAAGCGCAUGUAGGUGGCCUCGCAAGUGAGUGAUUAAAGACCGAUGCUUAACAUCGGAUCGGUUGUUCAUACUACGAGGCUGGAAGAUGGCAGGGGUAAGCGGAACUUUGAGUGUAGGAGUGAAAUCCGUAGAUAUUCAAAGGAACACCAAUGGCGAAGGCAGCUUACUGGGCCAUUCUUGACACUGAGAUGCGAAAGCGUGGGGAGCGAACGGG
rnacentral:rRNA from 1 species